UUGGAUAUUUUAGUCUUACUAUAUUUUAUUAAUGUGCAUACAGUUAAUUUGUUAGGAUUUAGUUAAUUUUUGGACAUUUUUGUUAAAAGUUGUGGGGAUAUUAUGUUUAGGACAGUUUAAUAAUAGCAAAUUUAAAAAAAAAUAAAUAAAUUCAGAAUCAGCUUUAAUGGCCAAAAACGUACACAACAGGUUUCGGCUGUUGGUGUCACUCUAGGAAUAAGUAAAAAGAGAAUAAUACAAUGACUAUAGAAAGAAGAAAAGUGAUUGUAAAAGAAAAACUAAAUAUAUGCAUAUGUUUACACAUCUAGAAAAGAACAUAUGUACACAGUAUUGCAAAAUGACAAUUGUAGAGUGAGAAAACAGUGCAAAAAGCAGAGAACAGAUAAUGUACAUAUCCACUGGUAUAUUGUACAGGUGUGGAGGAAUGACUCAGCUGUUUAUUGGAGUGAUGGCAGUGAGGAAGAAGCUGUUCUUAUGUCUGGAGGUUUUAGUGUUCGUGGCUCUGUAGCGCCUGCUGGAGGUGAAGGGGGAGAACAGUUUUUAUCCAGGGUUGUGGGGUCUCUGAUGAUGUUCCCUCUUCCUGGUUCUAGUGGAGAACAGUUCCAGGCUCCAAUGAUGUUCUAUGCAGUCUGUUUCUGUCCUGCUGUGGCUGAUCCAGAUGUGCACAGGACAGAUUGGAUGACAGCCGUGUAGAACUGGAUCAGCAGCUCCUGUUGCAGUAAAAACGUCCUCUGCUGAACCUUUUUCAGGAUGGAGCGGAUGUUCGUCUCCCACUUCAGGUCCUGAGGGAUUGUAGUCCCCAGGAGCUUGGAGGACGCCACAACAGGGCUGUUGCUAAUAGUGACGAGGCUGUCUCCUGAAGUCCUCUAUCAUCUCCAAGUUGUUCUGGCUGCAGCAGAUCAUCAGACGCUCAACUUCCUGCCGAUAUGCAGACUGGUCACCGUCCUGGAUCAGGCCAGUGACAGUUGUGUCGUCUGCAAACUUCAGGCGUUUAACUGCUGGGUGCUUGGAGGUGCAGUCGUUGGAGGGAGAAGAGAUGUGGAGACAGGAUACACCUCUGGGGGGCGCCGUGCUGACAGUCCAGGUGGUUGAGGUGACGUCUCCCAGCCUCAGGCACAUGGAUGGAGACACAUUGAGGUUGGUGGAGAGGAUUUCAGGGAUGAUGUUGCUGAAUGUCGAGGUAAAAUCCAUAAACGGGAUCCUCCAAUAACUCCCAGGGUCAUCUAGAUGUUGCAGGAUGUAGUGCUGCCUCAGACUGUCUGCAUCAUCUAACGACCUGUUGGCCAAAAAAAAAGUUGCCACCUGGAUUUGGUAAGCAAAUAGGUUUCCCAGAGACUAUGGGUUGAGGAGGAAUUGGAAGUUUGUCGGCUUAGACCUGGUGUCAUUCCAUCAGUGUUUAACUUCCCGGCUCAUCUUGGAAGAGUACGUACGAGAAAGACCAUGACCAAGCAGCCUUGAGAUCUUAGACAGCGUCUCCCUCAGGUGGAUGUCAACGGUGUUCACGGUCAGGUCUGUGGUAAUCCUGUCAAAAAACAAAACAGAAAAAAAUCUAGAUUAUAAAUCAACAUGUAACCAAAGCACUCUGUGUAUAACGCCAUAGUAUAGGAUGUAGUUCAGAAAAUGUCAAAGUAUAGUAUACUUUACUCAAGAAUAACAUAGUAUGGCCUGUAGUUCAUAGUAUAGCAUGUCGGCAAAAAAAACCCAUAGAUUAUUAUGUGGUUCAAAAAGCGCAAAAUGAUAGGAUGUUGCCUAAAAUUGUCAUGUAUGAUAUGUGGUUCAAAAAAUGUCAUAGUGCAAUAUAUUGUCAAAAUAGUAUGUUAUUCAAGAAAACACCAGAGUAUAAUAUGUCGUCUAAAAAAUGCCAUAGAAUAAUAUUUCAUUGCACAAGUAAAAGUAUAGUAAGUUUUAAAACUGUUCAAAUUCUUAUGUUUGCUAAAAAACAACAAAAAAAAAACUGAAACAAAACAAACAUCACAGUAAUAUGUCAAUUAAAAAAGCCUAUAGUAUAGCAUGUCGCCCAACAAACAUCAUAGUAUAGGAUGUUGCUCUAAAAACGUCAGAGUAUAGCCUUUAGUCCACAGCUGUCAGUAGGUGAGGAGCAACACAAAAACAGUCCAAACGCUGGUUUCCAGAGGGUUAGACGAGAAUUUAUUUGAAAGAGUAAGUUUACAACAACACAACAUGUGAGGGGUUUAAAAACAAAUGGGUGUUAGUAAAAUAAAAAUAAAUAAACAGAAGUAAAAGUGAACUUCGUGUUGACAUUGAUGGGCAUUCCAACCAGGAACAAAGUAAAAGAUAAUCAAUACGAAAAAAAACUCUUCCUGUUCACCUCUUCAAGCCCAAAAACACACCACAGUAGCACCCUAAACUAAAACUACCUAUGGGUUUCCUGUUUUCCUUUCUGAACAAUUCAAAGGUCCCUCUCUAUCUCCCCACACAUCCACCAACCACUGGAACACAUCUCCAAAGUUCUGCCUGACCAGCUCAGCUUCCCCUCAGAAGAAGUUCCACCAGAUGAAGGAGCCUUUUGAGAGGCAGCUGGCAUCGUGAUUGGACUGUACUUUGGUCUGUUCCAAUCCAGCUUCAGCUCCAGAGACGGCAGGCGGGACGAGUCAACGGAGGCCUGGUGGACGAAGGCAUGAAGCUGAGUACAAUCCAGAAAACAAUAGAGGAGGAGUGCAUCAGCCCAGGGCCAGAACAAACAGAGUAGCAUCAUAUGUCUCUUAGAAAACAUCAUAGUAUAGCCUUUGGUAUGAAAAAAACGCCAUAAUAUACAUCGUAUGUUGUACAAAUAACAAGUCAAAGGAAAGAGACAACAACUGUAGAAUUGUAGUAAUUGUGGGCUGACUGAUUUACUGAUUAUCAGUAUUUUAUUUUUUACUGAUUUACUGUAAUAAAUACAUGUAAAAAUGGC